rnacentral:rRNA from 1 species
AGAGUUUGAUCCUGGCUCAGAUUGAACGCUGGCGGCAGGCCUAACACAUGCAAGUCGAGCGGUAGCACAGAGAGCUUGCUCUCGGGUGACGAGCGGCGGACGGGUGAGUAAUGUCUGGGAAACUGCCUGAUGGAGGGGGAUAACUACUGGAAACGGUAGCUAAUACCGCAUAACGUCGCAAGACCAAAGUGGGGGACCUUCGGGCCUCAUGCCAUCAGAUGUGCCCAGAUGGGAUUAGCUAGUAGGUGGGGUAACGGCUCACCUAGGCGACGAUCCCUAGCUGGUCUGAGAGGAUGACCAGUCACACUGGAACUGAGACACGGUCCAGACUCCUACGGGAGGCAGCAGUGGGGAAUAUUGGACAAUGGGCGAAAGCCUGAUCCAGCCAUGCCGCGUGUGUGAAGAAGGUCUUCGGAUUGUAAAGCACUUUAAGUUGGGANGAAGGCAGUUACCUAAUACGUGAUUGGUUUGACGUACCGCAGAAUAACACCGGCUAACUUUUGGGCCACAANCCGGGUAAUCNAAAGGUGCAAGCCGUUAAUCGGAAUACUGGGCUAAAACCCCCCANGGGGUUUUNAANNGGNUGAAAACCCGGGUUAACUUGGGANUNGUUCCAAAUGGGNGNUUNAAAUUUUNANNGGGGGG